CGCGUAGACGGUUGUCUAAGUCUGGAGUGAAAGUCCUGCUUUUAAGGUGGGAAUUGCUUUGGAGACUGGAUGACUUGAGUGCGGAAGAGGUAAGUGGAAUUCCCAGUGUAGCGGUGAAAUGCGUAGAGAUUGGGAAGAACACCAGUGGCGAAGGCGACUUACUGGGCCGUAACUGACGUUGAUGCGCGAAAGCGUGGGGAGCGAACA
rnacentral:rRNA from 1 species